UCAAGUCGCGUGGGAGAGACCGCCGCAAGGCGGCGCCGAAGGCGCAAGUUCCGCCCGGAAUCGCUCAGGCAAAAGGACCACGACAGGCGG
rnacentral:ncRNA from 2 species